rnacentral:rRNA from 1 species
CCUACGGGAGGCUGCAGUCGAGAAUUUUUCUCAAUGGGCGAAAGCCUGAAGGAGCGACGCCGCGUGGGGGAUGAAGGGCUUCGGUCCGUAAACCCCUGUCAUUUGCGAACAAACCUUUCCCGUGAACAGCGGGGGAGCUGAUUGUAGCGAAAGAGGAAGGGACGGCUAACUCUGUGCCAGCAGCCGCGGUAAUACAGAGGUCCCGAGCGUUGUUCGGAUUCACUGGGCGUAAAGGGUGCGUAGGUGGUUCUGCAAGAUUGGCGUGAAAGCCCCGG